UAAUAUUGGACAAUGGGCGAACGCCUGCUCCAGCCAUGCGGCGUGUGUGAAGAAGGUCGUCGGAUUGUAAAGCACUAUAAGUUGGGAGGAAGGGCAGUAAGAGCCUACAUUGCUCGUUUGACGUUAUCGAAAGAACCAGCACCGGACAACUCGUUGCAACCAGCCGCGGUAAUACAGAUGGUGCAAGCGUUAAUCGGAGUUACUGGGCGUAAAGCGCGCGUAGGUGGUUCGUUAAGUGGGAUGUGAAAACCCCGGGCUCAACCUGGGAACUGCACCUAAAACUGGCGAGCUAGAGUAGAGCAGAGGGUGGUGGAAUUUCCUGUGUAGCGGUGAAAUGCGUAGAUAUAGGAAGGAACAUCAGUGGCGAAGGCGACCACCUGGGCUAAUACUGACACUGAGGUGCGAAAGCGUGGGGAGCAAACA
rnacentral:rRNA from 1 species